rnacentral:rRNA from 1 species
CAGCCGCCGCGGGAAUACGUAGGUGGCAAGCGUUGUCCGGAAUUAUUGGGCGUAAAGGGCUCGCAGGCGGUUUCUUAAGUCUGAUGUGAAAGCCCCCGGCUCGACCGGGGAGGGUCAUUGGAAACUGGGAAACUUGAGUGCAGAAGGGGAGAGUGGAAUUCCACGUGUAGCGGUGAAAUGCGUAGAGAUGUGGAGGAACACCAGUGGCGAAGGCGACUCCCUGGUCUGUAACUGACGCUGAGGAGCGAAAGCGUGGGGAGCGAACAGGAUUAGAUACCCCCGUAGUCCCUGUCUCUUAUAC